UAGAUUUCUAACUAUCUUUCCUGUAUUCUGUCAUUAUCUCUCAUUUAUUACCUUCUCUCCUUCUCUUCCUUUUUCCUUUCAAUGUUAGUACUUCCAGAGUUAUAUCUCCUAAAGAACAAUUCCCGUCUCAUUAACCCCCUUCCGAGGGUCCAUAUUAUCUUUAGAAGUGGCCUCCAAAUUUUAGAUCUCAUGGACCACUGAAAUAAAAAUAAAUCAGGGAGUCCAAAACAGUGUUGUCAAUUUUUAUUUUGUCAAGUAAGAACAUUAGAACCUCUCACCAAACUGCCUUCUACUUUUACCAUCACUUGAUAAAAGCAAUUGCCUUUGAUUCCAAAUACAGGAAAGGCAUAAACCCAGAAUAAAGGAGAGACCUUUAAAUUCAACGUAUUUUGUUUCAUAAAAAAACUUACUAAUUGUCUUUAUGUUUCUUAUUUCUCUCCAGUGUAGUGAAAACUUGGACUUAAACCAUCACUGGCCCAUGGCAAGCUUUUGGGGACCAAUGGCCUGCAGAAUAAGAUACAGGCAAUGCCAUCUACACUGCACAGAUGCUUUCUUCAAUCCAUCAACAAUGUCUGGGAGCAGCAUCACCUAAGACUGGACACAUUAAAACUUAAAGUCAAGGAAAUCUGAGCUUUUGGAUUUUGAGGCUCCUGGAGUGCUUCUAAACUCUUGUGUGCCUCUGCUCUGAUACUGGAAAAGCUGAUCUUUCCAAACAUAUAUUUUUUUAGAGUCAGCACAUCAGGACUGCCAGACUCAUUAGGGAAAGGAAAGCAAGUGGAAGAGGUUGAGA
rnacentral:lncRNA from 1 species